AUUGAACGCUGGCGGCAUGCUUUACACAUGCAAGUCGAACGGCAGCACAGAGAAGCUUGCUUCUUGGGUGGCGAGUGGCGAACGGGUGAGUAAUAUAUCGGAACGUACCGAGUAAUGGGGGAUAACUAAUCGAAAGAUUAGCUAAUACCGCAUAUUCUCUGAGGAGGAAAGCAGGGGACCUUCGGGCCUUGCGUUAUUCGAGCGGCCGAUAUCUGAUUAGCUAGUUGGUGGGGUAAAGGCCUACCAAGGCGACGAUCAGUAGCGGGUCUGAGAGGAUGAUCCGCCACACUGGGACUGAGACACGGCCCAGACUCCUACGGGAGGCAGCAGUGAGGAAUUUUGGACAAUGGGCGCAAGCCUGAUCCAGCCAUGCCGCGUGUCUGAAGAAGGCCUUCGGGUUGUAAAGGACUUUUGUCAGGGAAGAAAAGGCUGUUGCUAAUAUCGACAGCUGAUGACGGUACCUGAAGAAUAAGCACCGGCUAACUACGUGCCAGCAGCCGCGGUAAUACGUAGGGUCGCGAGCGUUAAUCGGAAUUACUGGGCGUAAAGCGAGCGCAGACGGUUACUUAAGCAGGAUGUGAAAUCCCCGGGCUCAACCUGGGAACUGCGUUCUGAACUGGGUGACUAGAGUGUGUCAGAGGGAGGUAGAAUUCCACGUGUAGCAGUGAAAUGCGUAGAGAUGUGGAGGAAUACCGAUGGCGAAGGCAGCCUCCUGGGAUAACACUGACGUUCAUGCUCGAAAGCGUGGGUAGCAAACAGGAUUAGAUACCCUGGUAGUCCACGCCCUAAACGAUGUCAAUUAGCUGUUGGGCAACUUGAUUGCUUAGUAGCGUAGCUAACGCGUGAAAUUGACCGCCUGGGGAGUACGGUCGCAAGAUUAAAACUCAAAGGAAUUGACGGGGACCCGCACAAGCGGUGGAUGAUGUGGAUUAAUUCGAUGCAACGCGAAGAACCUUACCUGGUCUUGACAUGUACGGAAUCCUCCAGAGACGGAGGAGUGCCUUCGGGAGCCGUAACACAGGUGCUGCAUGGCUGUCGUCAAGCUCGUGUCGUGAGAUGUGGGUU
rnacentral:rRNA from 1 species